rnacentral:misc_RNA from 1 species
GGUGGCUUUAGAUACUAAUGGUACCUGGGAAUUGGUGCCUAUACCACGAGAUAAGAAAGCUAAUGGGGUUUUCACAGUAAAAAUGAAUCCAGAUGGGUCUGUUGCUCGAUUAAUUAUACUCGGUCUUAUGGAGUUAAUUAUUCUGACGCCUUUCUCCUAUUGCCAAGCUUGCUUUUGUUCGAUUGUUUAUUUCUUUGGCAGCCACAUAUGACUAGCGUUUACAUCAACUAGAUAUCAAAAGUGCUUUCCUUUAUGGUAAUCUUCAAAAGGAAGUUUAUAUGGAGUAACGACUUGGUUUUGUUGCUCAGGGGUAGUUGGAAAAGGUUUGUAGGCUUUAGAAAUCUUUUUAUGGUUUAAAACAAAGUCCUCGGGUUUGGUUUGGAAGAUUUAAUGAGGC